GUCCCCGUAGCUCAGCUGGAUAGAGCGCCACCCUGCGGAGGUGGAAGUCACAGGUUCGAAUCCUGCCGGGGACGCCA
rnacentral:tRNA from 1 species